GUUUGCACCUGGUCAAAUCACUCCUCUUGAGAACGUUCUUCUGGAGCCCGGGUGUCCCCAGCUGGGUUUAGAACACGGGCGGUCGGGUCCAGGAAGACGUACCUCUGUACCGCCUCGAGCCUGGUUCUGAGCAAGGUUCAACUCUCUCCCCUUUGGUCCCCAAGAGCUGAGACAUUUCGGAGUAGAAGUCCAGGUGAAGAACUAAAUUCAGUUUCUGGAUACCAACGCGAGGGCCUCCCGGCUGACCGGCUGUGAGCGCACCCAGGUGGGCGGGCAGCCUGCCUUCGUGAUCGCGACUCAUUAGCCAGGAUGUCAGCCCUGAGGUUCAGGCUGUGGGGGUCAGGGAUGUUGCCCACAUCCCACACCGCUCCUGGCUGGACCGCGAUGCCCCAGGGGAGAAGGCGUGGAAGAGCCCAAGAACCAGAGUCCGCAGCCCUGCUCCCCCUCUGCCCUUCAAUGGGAGUGACCCUGAGCAAGCAGGAACUCUUCUCAGAGAUACACCAAGCUGCCCAUCUGCAAACCGGGGAGCGCAUAUGUCCAGCCUGCCUCCUUCUAUGAACCCCGACGGAGCGAGCUCUCUGUGCUGCAGAGAGACCUUUCCAGAGCCUGUGUUGUGUUCGACGGUAAAAGAGAUUCGAAUGAUUUCUUCAGGGGAAAACGGUAUAAUCUACACAGGACACAGCCAUCCUGUCAGGUUUUUCUGGGGGGACAGGGGAUGAUCAGCAGCUAACGAGUGGUUAAGUGCUAAAAUCCACACUGCAGUUCGGAAUGCUUGGCCUUUUCUUUCGGAAAAAAAUAUUUUAAAAGAAAAAAAAGGAAAUAUUUUGAAUCCGGAAAAUUAAACUUUUGUCUUCAGAGAUGGAAAGCUUGUGG